rnacentral:lncRNA from 1 species
GGUGACAUGAUGUCAUAAGUCUGCGCCGCUGUCCUGCAUCUGUGAUUCUGCUGAAGAAAGUUUCAUCUAGAGUCAGCGCCGGAGAUCAAACUGUUCAGAUCCAUCAUGGAUGAAACAUCUGGAGAUGAAGAUUUGUUUCCAGGACGCAGCUCGGUUCAUCAGAAGAGAUCAGAAGCAGAGUCCAGCUGUGUGUCUGUGAAGAGUGACUGGUCUAUGAUUGAGCCAAUAAUGUUUAACAGUGGAGAAAAACAGCCUGUUCUUAGGCCACACCCCCUACAUGCACUGUGCAUUCCUCCAUAACAUGGACAGAUCAUUUCUUGAAUCCUGCACACACAAUAUCAAAAUGUCCAUCUUGGUGAGUAUUCAUGUAAAUUACAUAAAUAUUACAAAAAAUGAUGUUUAAAACUUCCUUGUGCUGUGUG